rnacentral:rRNA from 1 species
UACUCCUACGGGAGGCAGCAGCCACAAGCGGUGGAGCAUGUGGCUCCUACGGGAGGCAGCAGUGGGGAAUAUUGGACAAUGGGGGGAACCCUGAUCCAGCCAUGCCGCGUGUGUGAAGAAGGCCUUAUGGUUGUAAAGCACUUUAAGCGAGGAGGAGGCUACUGAGACUAAUACUCUUGGAUAGUGGACGUUACUCGCAGAAUAAGCACCGGCUAACUCUGUGCCAGCAACCGCGGUAAUACAGAGGGUGCGAGCGUUAAUCGGAUUUACUGGGCGUAAAGCGUGCGUAGGCGGCUUUUUAAGUCGGAUGUGAAAUCCCCGAGCUUAACUUGGGAAUUGCAUUCGAUACUGGGAAGCUAGAGUAUGGGAGAGGAUGGUAGAAUUCCAGGUGUAGCGGUGAAAUGCGUAGAGAUCUGGAGGAAUACCGAUGGCGAAGGCAGCCAUCUGGCCUAAUACUGACGCUGAGGUACGAAAGCAUGGGGAGCAAACAGGAUUAGAUACCCUGGUAGUCCAUGCCGUAAACGAUGUCUACUAGCCGUUGGGGCCUUUGAGGCUUUAGUGGCGCAGCUAACGCGAUAAGUAGACCGCCUGGGGAGUACGGUCGCAAGACUAAAACUCAAAUGAAUUGACGGGGGCCCGCACAAGCGGUGGAGCAUG